rnacentral:rRNA from 1 species
GUCUCAGUUCAGAUUGCAGGCUGCAACUCGCCUGCAUGAAGUCGGAAUUGCUAGUAAUCGUAGGUCAGCAUACUACGGUGAAUACGUUCCCGGGCCUUGUACACACCGCCCGUCAAACCAUGAGAGUUGGCAACACCCGAAGUCGGUAGUCUAACCGCAAGGAGGACGCCGCCGAAGGUGGGGUCGAUGAUUAGGGUUAAGUCGUAACAAGGUAGC